UAGGGAAUCUUCGGCAAUGGGGGGAACCCUGACCGAGCAACGCCGCGUGAGUGAAGAAGGUUUUCGGAUCGUAAAGCUCUGUUGUUAAGGAAGAACGAGUGUGAGAAUGGAAAGUUCAUACUGUGACGGUACUUAACCAGGAAGGGACGGCUAACUACGUGCCAGCAGCCGCGGUAAUACGUAGGUCCCGAGCGUUGUCCGGAUUUAUUGGGCGUAAAGCGAGCGCAGGCGGUUAGAUAAGUCUGAAGUUAAAGGCAGUGGCUCAACCAUUGUAGGCUUUGGAAACUGUUUAACUUGGGUGCAGAAGGGGAGGGUGGAAUUCCAUGUGUAGCGGUGAAAUGCGUAGAUAUAUGGAGGAACACCGGUGGCGAAAGCGGCUCUCUGGUCUGUAACUGACGCUGAGGCUCGAAAGCGUGGGGAGCGAACAGG
rnacentral:rRNA from 1 species